ensembl:lncRNA
GUGCAUUUCCAUUAGUGUUGUUUUGAACUACUGUUUUACAUAAAGUUCUAUGGGGAGUUUGUUUUCCCCACAAAAGGGGCGGGAACGUGUUUGUACUCCAUACAAGAUAGGGUAGAAGAAUAGAUAAGUGAAAAUUUGGUGCCAGAUAUGUGUGGUUUUCUUCCAUAAAAGUUACAUUUUGGUUCUCCCCAAUCCAGGUUCCAUGGUGGUUCUCUUCAGACCAAGUUCUGUGGUGGCUCUCUUCAGUCCAAGUUCUGUGGGGGUUCACGUCAGUCCAGGUUCUGUGGUGGCUCUCUUCAGUCCAGGUUCUGUGGGGGUUUUCUCCAGUUCUCAUAAACACAAGGCUCAUUGUGUUUCUGGGGGUCUGUUUCACUUAGGGCUCUGACACUCUGACACACGCACACACACGCACACA